rnacentral:rRNA from 1 species
UACGGAGGGUGCAAGCGUUAUCCGGAUUCACUGGGUUUAAAGGGUGCGUAGGUGGGCAGGUAAGUCAGUGGUGAAAUCUCCGGGCUUAACCCGGAAACUGCCAUUGAUACUAUCAGUCUUGAAUACCGUGGAGGUAAGCGGAAUAUGUCAUGUAGCGGUGAAAUGCUUAGAUAUGACAUAGAACACCAAUUGCGAAGGCAGCUUACUACCCGAAAUAUUGACACUGAGGCACGAAAGCGUGGGGAUCAAACAGG